CUCUACUAUUAUCUAGUAUUACUAUAUUUUUCCAUUAACAUAAAAAAGCAUAUUCUUUCUCAUUUUUAUUGAAUAAAUAAAAGUAAUAAAUAAGCAAAAUUUUCAUUUUUAUCUAGAAUUUAAAUUGUAAAAAAAAAAAAAACUUCAUAAAAGAUUAGGAAAAGUAAAAGUAUAUGAUAUAGAAACCUAUAAUAUAAAUGAAUACAAAUAAAAACAAACAAAUCGAACCAAAUUAUAAAAAGUACUUGUUAUUUUUAAAGUUUAAAGAAACUAUGUAAGGCAAAUAGUACUAAAUAAAAAAAGGAGCAAUAACGCCCUCUUGUUGUAUCAAGAGGGAAGCUAUUGCUCCUUUUUUAGUUCAAAAAGUCCUAUACAAUCAGACCAAAGUC
rnacentral:misc_RNA from 1 species